AUUAAGAAUUUCCGCAGACUAGAGGCCCCGCAGGCGCCAUAAAUAUUUAACAUCAAGAAUCAGUCGAGCGUGCAUCAUUAACUUCGAAUCGUACAAUCUUCCGUGUAAUUGUCGAACAAUNGUCAAGCUGGAGCUAAUAAAUACGUAUGUUGGAGUCAAUGUG
rnacentral:lncRNA from 1 species